GGCCAAGUGGCGGAAUGGCAGACGCAGUCGACUCAAAAUCGACCGCCCGAAAGGCGUGUGGGUUCGACUCCCACCUUGGCCAC
rnacentral:tRNA from 1 species